rnacentral:rRNA from 1 species
UACAGAGGGUGCAAGCGUUGUUCGGAAUUAUUGGGCGUAAAGGGUGCGUAGGCGGUUGUUUAAGUCUGUUGUGAAAUCCCCGGGCUCAACCUGGGAAUGGCAAUGGAUACUGGACAGCUAGAGUGUGUCAGAGGGGGGUGGAAUUCCGCGUGUAGCAGUGAAAUGCGUAGAGAUGCGGAGGAACACCGAUGGCGAAGGCAGCCCCCUGGGCUAACACUGACGCUGAGGCACGAAAGCGUGGGGAGCAAACAGG